AACGGAGAGUUUGAUCCUGGCUCAGGACGAACGCUGGCGGCGUGCUUAACACAUGCAAGUCGAACGAUGAACUGGAGCUUGCUCCAGGGAUUAGUGGCGAACGGGUGAGUAACACGUGAGUAACCUGCCCUUGACUCUGGGAUAAGCGCUGGAAACGGCGUCUAAUACCGGAUACGAGCUUCAGCCGCAUGGCUAGGAGUUGGAAAGAAUUUCGGUCAAGGAUGGACUCGCGGCCUAUCAGCUAGUUGGUGAGGUAACGGCUCACCAAGGCGACGACGGGUAGCCGGCCUGAGAGGGUGACCGGCCACACUGGGACUGAGACACGG
rnacentral:rRNA from 11 species